rnacentral:lncRNA from 1 species
UAGAUCCUUUACCAUAGUGUGGGUUGAUGAUCACCACUGUUGAUAGAUGUGGUAAUGGAUUCUUCCUAAUGUCGAGAAGCCGCAUCGCACGUCUGGCCUCUACAGGAUGUCCAUGUUGGAGCAGCUUCCUCAGGUUGUGGAUGUCAAGAAACAACAAGGAUCUGGUCAUGGAGGUCCUUGAAGGCCAGCAACCAAGCAAAAUAAAAAUAGCCUUUAGGAUUUCAGCGGUCUUGGAAAUCCUGUCGGUAGGAUUUCUUUCUACGAUUUGAAUCUCUUCUCCACCA